rnacentral:rRNA from 1 species
UACGGAGGGUGCGAGCGUUGUCCGGAAUCAUUGGGCGUAAAGGGCGCGUAGGUGGCCCGGUCAGUCCGUGGUGAAAGCGCGGGGCUCAACCCUGCGUCGGCCAUGGAUACUGCCGCGGCUCGAGCACUGUAGAGGCAGGCGGAAUUCCGGGUGUAGCGGUGGAAUGCGUAGAGAUCCGGAAGAACACCGGUGGCGAAGGCGGCCUGCUGGGCAGUUUUGCUGACACUGAGGCGCGACAGCGUGGGGAGCAAACAGG